GAUGCCUGCCUUAAGUCUAAAGACUCUGACAGGUCUGGGAAUAUCUAAAAUUCCGAAGUCUCCUGGUGAUCUAUUUGCAGGAGAGUCAAGGCUCUCCUGAGAUGAAGUCAGCCUAAGGGGAGAGGGAGCAGGUUCUGAGCUGGACCAGUAACAGCGUGGUCCUGGAUCACUAAGGGCGAAUUGUGCUCCUGAGUCCUGAAGGGGAGUCUGCAUCUUGCCGGGAGAGAGGAAUCGUGCAAACACCUAAGAGAUGGUGUACUCAAAACCUUAGGCACCAAAGAUCUACUCCUGAUGCAGGACCUUGGGAGGAACAUUUGGAUCCGAGAGAAAAAGGCCUGAGCUGCCCGGAGAGAAGGCACCAUGACAGCUCCUUUCCCUCAUGUAGCACGACGCCCAUUCUUCUGCGGCCUGUGACGUCUCAUCCCUGCCCCCCGCCACCCAGGCCUCUUGCCGCCCAAGAGCCCCAGAGCAAUGCCCAGCCAUUGCUGCUUCAUGUCACGCCAGGACCCUGGAGCAUCAUCCUCAGAAGAAUCCAGAUCCUGAUGGGGCUAUCCACGGGCUGGAUGUCUGGGCUACAUAUCAUGGUGCCUGAAAGCCCAGGAAGGAGGGGGCACGUAUAGAGGAGAGAAUCCUUGGGGGCAGGUAUCCACUGAGACGCCUCCCACAUUCGGCAGCAUCUCAUCUUUUAUGGGAUAUGGACAACUAUGGUAAUGGUGGAAAGACAGAGUUGGGCAGGAAAUCUGAAUGCUGUUAUAAUAUGGAGAGGGGACUUCUGCAUAUAAAUUUUGGGCAAGUUUACUCCUGUGAGAGCUCUCCAGUUACUGUGUUAACCUACUCUUAAUGCAAAAUACCUCCCCCACCCCAGGAUUCUGGAAGCAGACAUUAUCUCUGACCCUGGGGAGACUUGGCCCUCGAUUGGCUAGAUGGGAAGCCUGUUUUGGUGCUAUGUUUCUGGAAAAGCUGGACUUGGAAAUGGUGCAGGUAUUUACUGGGCUGGCAAGAAGCUUAAUGUUUGUCUCUGGCUCCAUGUCAGGGGUGUUAUUUGGCCACUAAUGAUACAGUCUUGGAAACGUCAUAUCACCAUCCUGACCUCAGUUUCUUCAUCCGAGAAAAGAGAUAAUGUCAAAGGUUAUUAUUCACCUUGAAUAGGCUUUUAUUCUAAGUCUUGGAACAGACAACUUAACAUUUUUAUUUCCUUAUCCACAAAUGGGGAUAAUAAUACCCACCCUUACCUUCGAAUCUAUAUGAAAACCCUCAGACCUCUGGGGAAGAAAAGCAUUAUUUAAGCCCAGAGUAGAAUUAUUAUUCUAUUCUAUUUGCUCUCUCCUAGUCAUUCAUCACUGCCGUGCUGUACAAUUAUGCCCUGGGGUGAGUUAUGUGAACAAACAGCCACACUGGGCAAGUUUCUUGAGUGAUGGGACAUUCGGAUUGUGCUCUGUGGAAAAGACACCAAAAUCUUUUAUUUAGUUAUUUAGGUGGAGCGUGCUAUCUAGUUAGUACACAGGCCCAAACUGGAAUACAUUGCUACCUCUAGAAUGUAAUAUUGGUGGUUAUUUCUCCUUUCCAGUGUUGUCUUGCCUUUGAAUUUCUGUGGGCAUCAUCUGGACCAGUUCUGACCUGGGAAAACACAGCAUGAGUCCUCUUUGGCUCCCAGCAAGACCCUGAUAAUGCCUAAAACUUUGAUGCUGCCUGGGGUUUGGAGUGGAACCCAGGUCCCCAUGCUUGGAAAAUCUGCAUAGCCAAAUGUGCAUAAGUAAAGGCAUACCUCACCUAGCUAAACAAACACGCACAGGCUUAUAAUUGCCUUUGUAUUUUCUCAUUGUAGCCACCAGAGGCCUCCCAAAUUGUGGUCGAUUUUAAUGUCAGUGGAAAUCUACUGGGAAUUAACAAAAAAAAAAAUCAUUUUAAAAUUGAAUAGAAUGCCUACAAAAGUU